AUUGAACGCUGGCGGCAGGCCUAACACAUGCAAGUCGAGCGGAUGAAGGGAGCUUGCUCCUGGAUUCAGCGGCGGACGGGUGAGUAAUGCCUAGGAAUCUGCCUGGUAGUGGGGGAUAACGUCCGGAAACGGGCGCUAAUACCGCAUACGGCCUGAGGGAGAAAGUGGGGGAUCUUCGGACCUCACGCUAUCAGAUGAGCCUAGGUCGGAUUAGCUAGUUGGUGGGGUAAAGGCCUACCAAGGUGACGAUCCGUAACUGGUCUGAGAGGAUGAUCAGUCACACUGGAACUGAGACACGGUCCAGGCUCCUACGGGCGGCAGCAGUGGGGAAUAUUGGACAAUGGGCGAAAGCCUGAUCCAGCCAUGCCGCGUGUGUGAAGAAGGUCUUCGGAUUGUAAAGCACUUUAAGUUGGGAGGACGGGCAGUAAGUUAAUCCCUUGCUGUUUUGACGUUACCAACAGAAUAAGCACCGGCUAACUUCGUG
rnacentral:rRNA from 1 species